GACGAACGCUGGCGGCGGGCCUAAUACAUGCAAGUAGAACGCAGUUGCGAACGGGUGAGAAACGAGUAGGUAACUGCCUCAUAGCGGGGGAUAACGCAAGGAAACGAUAGCUAAUACCGCAAUCUGUGAGAUGGACCGGAGUUGUAAUUGCUAGUUGGAGAGGUAAAGGCUCACCAAGGAGACGAUACAUAGCCGACCUUAGAGGGUGGUCGACCACACUGGGACUUAGGCACCGCCCCGGCUCCUACGGGGUGCAGCCGUAGGGAAUCUUCGGCAAUGGACGGCAGUCUGACCGAGCAACGACGCGUGAGUGGAGAAGGUUUUCGGAUCGUAAAGCUCUGUUGUUAGAGAAGCGGUAACUAACCAGAAAGGGACGGCUAACUACGUGCCAGCAGCCGCGGUAAUUC
rnacentral:rRNA from 1 species